GACGAACGCUGGCGGCGUGCUUAACACAUGCAAGUCGAGCGGUAAGGCCUUUCGGGGUACACGAGCGGCGAACGGGUGAGUAACACGUGGGUGACCUGCCCUGCACUUCGGGAUAAGCCUGGGAAACUGGGUCUAAUACCGGAUGGGACCAUUCCAUGCAUGUGGGUGGUGGAAAGUCGGUGCUGUUGUGGUGUCGGCGGUGGGAGU
rnacentral:rRNA from 1 species